AUAUUGGACAAUGGGCGCAAGCCUGAUCCAGCCAUGCCGCGUGUGUGAAGAAGGCCUUCGGGUUGUAAAGCACUUUUGUCCGGAAAGAAAAGCUCUCGGUUAAUACCCGGGGGUCCUGACGGUACUGGAAGAAUCAGCACCGGCUAACUUCGUGCCAGCAGCUGCGGUAAGACGAAGGGUGCAAGCGUUACUCGGAAUUACUGGGCGUAAAGCGUGCGUAGGUGGUUUGUUAAGUCUGAUGGGAAAGCCCUGGGCUCAACCUGGGAAUGGCAUUGGAUACUGGCGAGCUAGAGUGCGGUAGAGGGUAGUGGAAUUCCCGGUGUAGCAGUGAAAUGCGUAGAGAUCGGGAGGAACAUCUGUGGCGAAGGCGACUACCUGGACCAGCACUGACACUGAGGCACGAAAGCGUGGGGAGCAAAC
rnacentral:rRNA from 1 species